rnacentral:rRNA from 1 species
AAGAAAAUUCUAGCCUUAUCGGUGGAUCACUCGGCUCGUGGGUCGAUGAAGAACGCAGCUAACUGCGAUAACUAGUGUGAACUGCAGAAACCUUGAACACAAAAACUUCUAAUGCACAUUGCACCAAUGGAUCAUUUCCACUGGUACGCCUGGUUCAGGGUC